GGGCGGAUGCGGAUAUGGUCUCUCCAUUCUCAUCCCCACCUAAAAUUUUCAUCUCCAUCCCUGCCACAUCACCCAUGGCGGGAAUAAAAUUCAUCCUCAUCUCCGCCCCAAUGGGUAUAAACUAAAAUUCAUUCCUGCCCCAUCACCCAACUGGGUAUCCAUCCCUUUCUUAUCCCCACCCCAUACCCGCACGAGUUAAGUACACAUUUGGGGUCUCACCUUUUGAUUUUUUCACCGUUUGGGACCCGAAGCUUUUUUUUUCACCGUUAAGGACCUAUAAUACAAUUUCCGGCCAAAAUUAACCCAAUUGUGUGAAAGUUUAGUCCCCUUUGGUUAUAAGGUUAGUCUCCUUAGUUAAAGUACACUUGGCAUCAUAUGAUUUGUUCCGCUUAAACAAUGCGAAGGUUUACCUUUCACAUUUACCCUUCUAAAUUCUAAUACUCUGAAUUGUAAUUCGGUCUUCUCCGUCGAGGCAUUGUCUCUUUGAAGGUAUUGCCGUUGAACCUCCGGCGCUUAACUUUGGCAAUGUCCGUCCUCUUUCAGAUUUACGCCCCUUCUUCCGCCAUUACUUAGAUGUAAAAUGGUUGCGGAAAUGCUUGAUUAUUGCUGUAAAACUUGCUUGAUGCACCUGAUUACAAAUGAGAUGAAGGUUUUGGUUGAUGACAAAAUUACUGGAAUGCUUUCAGAUGUGAAUACUAUAAAUUUUUUUAAGGUGUUUGAUGAUGAACACUUUUUUCAAUUUGGUGUUGCCGUUUGAUAAAAAACAUGGUAACAGGAAGAGUUUUAUAGCAAGCCAGCCUUAACAGUCAUAUUGUGUGUAAUUUGAGAGAUUUUACCUUCAUUUAAUGUUCUGAAAUUAUUUAAAUGCAUUUAAAUGUUUUUAUUUUUUAUUUUUA